rnacentral:rRNA from 1 species
AUGAGUUCAUCGUGGACAUUCAAGCAGAACAAGGUGUUCGAGGAUGCGCUGGCCAAGUACGACAAGGACGCGCCAGACAGAUGGCAGAACGUGGCGCGGGAGGUUGGCGACGGCAAGUCGGUGGAGGAUGUGAAGAAGCACUUCGCGGAGCUGGAAAAAGACGUGGACGAGAUUCAUACAAACGGUGCCGGCAGCAGCAGCAACAACACCAAGGGCGGUUCCAGCCGUGGUGGCAGCAGCGAUGGGCAGAGGCCAAGGUACCUGAAGAGCCAGUGA